UUUUCCACCGGAGCUUGCUCCACCGGAAAAAGAGGAGUGGCGAACGGGUGAGUAACACGUGGGUAACCUGCCCAUCAGAAGGGGAUAACACUUGGAAACAGGUGCUAAUACCGUAUAACAAUCGAAACCGCAUGGUUUUGAUUUGAAAGGCGCUUUCGGGUGUCGCUGAUGGAUGGACCCGCGGUGCAUUAGCUAGUUGGUGAGGUAACGGCUCACCAAGGCCACGAUGCAUAGCCGACCUGAGAGGGUGAUCGGCCACAUUGGGACUGAGACACGGCCCAAACUCCUACGGGAGGCAGCAGUAGGGAAUCUUCGGCAAUGGACGAAAGUCUGACCGAGCAACGCCGCGUGAGUGAAGAAGGUUUUCGGAUCGUAAAACUCUGUUGUUAGAGAAGAACAAGGAUGAGAGUAACUGUUCAUCCCUUGACGGUAUCUAACCAGAAAGCCACGGCUAACUACGUGCCAGCAGCCGCGGUAAUACGUAGGUGGCAAGCGUUGUCCGGAUUUAUUGGGCGUAAAGCGAGCGCAGGCGGUUUCUUAAGUCUGAUGUGAAAGCCCCCGGCUCAACCGGGGAGGGUCAUUGGAAACUGGGAGACUUGAGUGCAGAAGAGGAGAGUGGAAUUCCAUGUGUAGCGGUGAAAUGCGUAGAUAUAUGGAGGAACACCAGUGGCGAAGGCGGCUCUCUGGUCUGUAACUGACGCUGAGGCUCGAAAGCGUGGGGAGCAAACAGGAUUAGAUACCCUGGUAGUCCACGCCGUAAACGAUGAGUGCUAAGUGUUGGAGGGUUUCCGCCCUUCAGUGCUGCAGCUAACGCAUUAAGCACUCCGCCUGGGGAGUACGACCGCAAGGUUGAAACUCAAAGGAAUUGACGGGGGCCCGCACAAGCGGUGGAGCAUGUGGUUUAAUUCGAAGCAACGCGAAGAACCUUACCAGGUCUUGACAUCCUUUGACCACUCUAGAGAUAGAGCUUCCCCUUCGGGGGCAAAGUGACAGGUGGUGCAUGGUUGUCGUCAGCUCGUGUCGUGAGAUGUUGGGUUAAGUCCCGCAACGAGCGCAACCCUU
rnacentral:rRNA from 1 species